rnacentral:rRNA from 1 species
UACGUAGGGUGCGAGCGUUAAUCGGAAUUACUGGGCGUAAAGCGUGCGCAGGCGGUUUUGUAAGCCAGAUGUGAAAUCCCCGGGCUUAACCUGGGAAUGGCAUUUGGGACUGCAAGGCUUGAGUGCGGCAGAGGAGACUGGAAUUCCUGGUGUAGCAGUGAAAUGCGUAGAUAUCAGGAGGAACACCGAUGGCGAAGGCAGGUCUCUGGGCUGACACUGACGCUCAUGCACGAAAGCGUGGGGAGCAAACAG